AUUGAACGCUGGCGGCAUGCUUUACACAUGCAAGUCGAGCGGCAGCGCGGGGGCAACCCUGGCGGCGAGCGGCGAACGGGUGAGGAAUACAUCGGAACGUACCCCGGAGUGGGGGAUAACGCCGCGAAAGCGGCGCUAAUACCGCAUAUGCUCUGAGGAGGAAAGUGGGGGACCGCAAGGCCUCACGCUCUGGGAGCGGCCGAUGUCCGAUUAGCUAGUUGGUGGGGUAAAGGCUCACCAAGGCUACGAUCAGUAGCUGGUCUGAGAGGAUGAUCAGCCACAUUGGGACUGAGACACGGCCCAAACUCCUACGGGAGGCAGCAGUGGGGAAUCUUGCGCAAUGGGCGAAAGCCUGACGCAGCCAUGCCGCGUGAAUGAUGAAGGUCUUAGGAUUGUAAAAUUCUUUCACCGGGGACGAUAAUGACGGUACCCGGAGAAGAAGCCCCGGUUAACUUCGUGCCAGCAGCCGCGGUAAU
rnacentral:rRNA from 1 species